CCCCCUGUAGUAACACUGGAUCAAUAAGAAAUUAUCUUUACCGGACCUUAGGAAGAACAGUUUAGAACUGACAGAGCUAUAUAUCCAGUAUAAAUAAAGUUAGUUUAGUUUCGCGGAUCGCGGUUUCCUCCUGUAGGAACACUGGAUCAAUAAAAGAUAGACCUUUAGAGGGAACAAUUUAGAACUAACAUAUAUAUCCAGUGUAAAUACAUCUUCAAGUUAGUGGUUUAGGUUCCUUCCUAGUCUAGGAAAAAAGGAACGCUCCUUUCUGGAGAUCUAAGAAGAACAGUGAAAGCGGCUUGAUCAAAACUUUAAAACAAUGCUAAAUAUGUUAAAUAUUGCGUGAGCCAUCCCACAUGCGCAAAAUAGAAAUACCAUGAUCGUGACUUGCUUGUGCGCUGAUGUAGGUGUGAACAUUUAAGGAAUUGUUUUUAAAGAAAACUUUGAGCUUUAAUUACCGAUGUCCUGCCGUAUUCUAAACAAUGCUCACAGUGCAGUCACCGAAAAUACACUUUUAAAAUCAUUACGUAAGCUAAAAAGACCACAAUGAACAACGUACUUUAAAUUGUUUAUACUGGAUAGCCGUCUAUCGGUUCUAAACCGUUCUUAGUAGAGGUCAAGUAAAGAUAAUUCAUCUCUUAUUGAUCCAAUAGUACGUGUUACUACAGGAGGAAACAUAAACUAAAGAGUAAACUAAUUUUAUUUAUACGGGAUAGUUCUAUCAGUUCUAAACAGUUCUCCCUAGAGAUCCAGUAAGGACUAAGGGCCUGUUCAUAUGGGCAAAAGUUAUCCCGGUUAACAAGAAAACUUUUCGACUAGCCAAAUACUUUUGUUCUGUUCCGAGAAACUUUAUCCCGCUUACCGGGUAAGGUUUUCGGAUGUGACGUGGCACUGAACAUCAAUUGAAUUGAAAAGUUGCUGACACGACAGAAAGUUAUCUCGCUAAGCGGGAAAGUUGUAUUCAUAUGGGAAAAACAUUAUCCCGGUCACCGAGAU